GUGACACAUAACGCCGACAAGCAAGAAGCCAUCUUGGAUAAGACGCACUGUUUUAAGCAGCACAUGUUCAUUGUUCAAUUACCAUUAAUAUAUUCUGUCCAAAAUGAAUGAUUUUUCUGCUGUUCCACCACCAAGCGGUGUGGGAAAUAAUCCUGCAUUUGCUGAUGCUGUGCAAAGAGCAAAACAGAUUGCGGCCAAGAUUGGUAGCUCAGCUGGCCCACCAGCGGGUGUUGUAGAGCCACCACCAGGGAUCCCCUUGGGCAUAAAGCGACCCAUGGAUGACGGUGAUGGCAUGCCAGAUGCAAAGAGAUCGGCUGCUGAGAAUGAUCCUUUCGGUGCUCAAUUAGCAGCUUUGGCUCAACAGCGACAAGGGAUGCCUGCACAAGCCACAGAAGACUACAAGAUUCCAGAUGGCCUUGUUGGAUUAGUUAUCGGCCGUGGUGGGGAGCAAAUCAACAGGCUACAGACAGAGACAAGUUGCAAUAUUCAAAUUUCACCAGAUAGCAAUGGAAUGCCAGAUCGGGUGUGUACAUUAUCUGGUAGUAAUGUUUCUGUAAUGAAUGCAAGGAAUGCACUAGAUAAGAUCAUUGCCAAAGCCAAGAUGACGGACGCUGAAGGAACCGUUACUGAGGAGAUGAUGGUACCAGGCAAUAAAGUAGGCCUGGUAAUCGGCAAAGGGGGCGAGACCAUCAGAACUCUACAGGAUGAGAUUGGUGUUAGAAUGACCAUGAUUCAAGAUGGACCACAGAACAUCGGUAUUGAUAAGCCACUUAGAGUAAGCGGUGAACCAUCUAAAGUACAGGAAGCAUUCCGAAAAGUACAUGAACUACUUGAAUCUAAGGGCAAUGAUCUUGGGAAUCGUGGGCCAGGAAUGGGUAAUCCAUUCCAAAGAAGAGGUCCUCCACCUAAUGGUCGAGAGGUACCAGUUCCAAAGUUUGCUGUGGGUAUUGUGAUUGGCAGGCAAGGUGAAACAAUUAAGAAAAUCCAGGCAGAGUCUGGUGCACGUGUUCAGUUUCAAGACGAUGAUGGUGGUCCGGAGAGAAUUGCCAUUGUCUCUGGCCCUGAGGACGCAGUUAUGAAUGCUGCUGGUGAAAUUGAGAAGUUGAUUGCUAGUGCUAAUAGAGAUGUUGACAGAGGAAAUGGAAUGCCAAUGAGAGGUGGCAGAGGAGGUGGACGAGGUGGUUUCAGAGGAGGCAGAGGUGGCUUCAAUCGUGGACCACCAGGAAUGGGAGGUCCAAGAGGUCCCCCUCCACACCAUGGAGGUGGUCCUCAUGGUGGACCGCCUCAUGGAGGCCCAGGAAUGAAUACACUAGAAUAUGCAGUGCCGGCAAACAAGUGUGGAAUUGUCAUUGGUAAAGGUGGUGAGAGCAUCAACAAUAUCAAAGCAACGAGUGGCGCACAUGUUGAAAUUAGUCGUAACCCAGGUCCACCUGGUCAGAAGUUGUUCUUCAUACGUGGAACACAGGAACAGAUUGACCAUGCCAAGUACCUCAUUAAUGAAAAAAUAAAUAAUGAUCCAAGAGGUCCACCUCCACCACAGGGCGGUGCUCCCCCAUAUGGACAAGGUCCACCUCCAGGAGGUCCACAAGGAGGACACCAACCACCUCAGGGUGGUCCACCAGGGCCCCCACAACCAUACAACCCCCAUGGUUGGGGUAAUGCAUUUGGCCAAUGGAAUCAACAGCAAUCCCAGACUGACACAAUGGCUGCCUGGGCAUCAUACUAUGCUCAGUUCUAUCCUCAGCAAGGAGGAGCACAACCAGCUAACCCAGGGGCACAGCCACAACCGUCAUCUUCAUCUACUCCAUCCUCAAAUACAUCAACACAGUCGCCAGCAGCAUCUCAAGGCGUGAAGAUGACUGCUGACGGACAGCCAGAUUAUAGCGCGGCCUGGGAGGAGUACUACCGACAGCUGCGACAACAGCAAGGUGGCGCUGCAGCUGCAGCACCAGCAGGACAGCCACAGCAGGCAGCACAAGCUGUAGCAUCAAGCCAGCCCCCAGCUGCAGCUACCAGCCAGAGUGGAGCAGCCGCAGGGGGCGGUACCCAAGAUUACAGCGCAGAAUGGGCAGAGUACUGGCGUCAACAGGGCUACUACUAUCCACAGUCACAAGGAGCCCAGCAGCAACCCCAGGCACAACCCCAACAACAGCCACAGUACUAGCCAGAAAAUGCCCAGAUGUGAUCAACUAAACAGAGUCCUAGAAUUUCACGGCUUUGGGUGGAACAUGCGUCAAUGUUGGAGUUAGAACAGCAACCACAUAUAAUGAUUGAUUGAUUGAUUGAUACUUUGAUUCAUUGUGCUAUGGAGUAUUUUGAUUGAUUGAUUGAUUGAUUAUCAACGAGUGUCUUUGAUCUUAUGAAGCCUGAUGACUAUUACCAUGCAGUUCCUCCAUUACAACAUUAAUCUUGAUGUUUUUGCCAAGUCCAAGAUAAAAAUUGGUUGUAGUUGAGUUAGAUGUUUUUACCACAUAGACUUAAUGUAAAUAUAUAAACACGGUGACCAAGGUAAGGAAAGGUCCAUGUUGCUUCAAGGUUUUUAAAUGUAAGAGGUCGAAAUAAGAUCACCUAGUGUGCAUCUGGACUAGGUUUCAUCUACCACUUAUCUACCGUAUGUAAUUUUUCAGUAUUUUAUUUGGUUUUUCCCCCCGGAUUUUUAAAUGAAUAUUGAUAAUAUGAUGUGCAUUUUUGCAAUGUGCUGUCUUCCUCAUAGAUAAGUAGGCUGCAGGUGGACUUACACAACUAGCAGAGAUGUUCUCAUCGCUAUUGUAAGUAACUAGAUUGUUCAAAAUGUGUAAUUGUUACCAUAGUGGUUUCUUUAUGAUCACUGUUACCAAUUGUUAUACCAUUUUAAGAAUAUAUUCAUAUUAUUUUCUAUGUAUGUUGAGAAUGAACUAGUGUUUUUAAGUAUGAAAAUCACAAACCAUGAAUUAUUUUGAUGUGUAGAAUGUAGGAAUGAUUCUAUUUUACAUUAUUGAUCGUUAAAACUAAGGGGUUUUUUUUUUAACUGAGGUCGAAAAUUAUAACUAUUGUACAGUAUUUAGAUUCUGCUGAGCUGUAAGAAUUUGAGUAGGAAAUGAGCAAUCCAGGUAAGUGUGUUGGAAGAAACCUUAAAAGGGCUGGGAAUGUUGAAACUGCAACCAACAAUUUAUGGAGAUGAUGUAAAUGUAGCAUUUUUGCAUUGCAGCAAUUCACUCUUAUAAUAUUUUAAGUCAUGAUUCUGGGAGAACAUUAAGGAGGAAGGGUGUUGUAUUCUUCUCAGCCUUACACCUCAUUCGUUGGACAAGUAAAAUUAAAUUGUGUAAUUAAUAAAAAGCUGUAACUGUAGUUAAAUAUUGAAAGAUAUCCUAAUUUAACAAGUGUAACUACUUAUACUAUGGUUAAUGCAUCAUUGUAGUUGUAAAUGUUGUAGGUUAAAUCAAUUAUUGUACAGAACAAAAUAGGGAUGAUUUCAAAACUGUGUUCAGAAUUUAUUUCGUUCUUGAUGGUGAUGUUACAUUUGAUAAUGAUACAUUUUUGCUUUUGAACUAUGUAACUAUGUUUCUUGUUUAGUGAUACAUAUUCCACAUGUGUUGUUUUGAAUGUGCAAACUUGAAUCGGUAUGUGUUUAGGAUGAGGUACGUUGUCACAUAGGUUCAAAGGCUAGAGGUGAUGAUGAAUGGGGUGUGUGGCAGGAGCUAAAGACCAACCGCCACGGACGAGUCUAAUGUAAGUAAGGAAAGGAGUCUUUGGUAGGGCAGUUAGCAACACUACUGAACUUGUAUUGCAGUAUUAUUUUCUCAUGCCUGUAUUUUCUUAUAUUGUAUGUUCAUAAUAAAACAAUUCCUUACAUGCUUUAUGAA
rnacentral:misc_RNA from 1 species